rnacentral:tRNA from 3 species
CGGAUGUAGCCAAGUGGAUCAAGGCAGUGGAUUUGUGA